rnacentral:rRNA from 1 species
UAGCAUAAUCAUUUGGUUUUUAAUUGAGAUCUGGAAUGAAGGGUUUUACUGUGGUAAUUGUCUUAGUUAUAAUAGUUGAAUUUUUAUUUUUGGUAAAAAUACUUGGAUAAACUAAAGGGACGAUAAGACCCUAAAAGUUUUAUUAGAGGAUGUGGUUUAGGUAAUUAUAUUAGGUUAACUGGGGUAGUUGUUUUAUAGAGAUUAUUAUUUAAUUUAGCUGUAGGUUUAAGGUCCUUAAAAUUAGGAUAGUUAGAGUUAAUUACUUUAGGGAUAACAGCGUAAUAAUUUUGGAGAGCUCUUAUUUAUGAAGUUGAUUGCGACCUCGAUGUUGAAUUAAAGAAGACUACAGGGCAGAAUAGGUAGGGCUAGGUUUGUUCAGCCUUUAUAUAUUUACAUGAUUU